rnacentral:rRNA from 1 species
ACCCGCUGAACUUAAGCAUAUCAAUAAGCGGAGGAAAAGAAACCAACAGGGAUUGCCCUAGUAACGGCGAGUGAAGCGGCAACAGCUCAAAUUUGAAAUCUGGCGUCUUUGGCGUCCGAGUUGUAAUUUGCAGAGGGCGCUUUGGCAUUGGCAGCGGUCCAAGUUCCUUGGAACAGGACGUUGCAGAGGGUGAGAAUCCCGUACGUGGUCGCUAGCCUUUACCGUGUAAAGCCCCUUCGACGAGUCGAGUUGUUUGGGAAUGCAGCUCUAAAUGGGAGGUAAAUUUCUUCUAAAGCUAAAUACUGGCCAGAGACCGAUAGCGCACAAGUAGAGUGAUCGAAAGAUGAAAAGCACUUUGGAAAGAGAGUUAAAAAGCACGUGAAAUUGUUGAAAGGGAAGCGCUUGCAGCCAGACUUGCCUGUAGUUGCUCAUCCGGGUUUUUACCCGGUGCACUCUUCUAUAGGCAGGCCAGCAUCAGUUUGGGCGGUUGGAUAAAGGUCUCUGUCAUGUACCUCUCUUCGGGGAGAACUUAUAGGGGAGACGACAUGCAACCAGCCCGGACUGAGGUCCGCGCAUCUGCUAGGAUGCUGGCGUAAUGGCUGU